rnacentral:rRNA from 1 species
ACGGAAAGGCCCUUUCGGGGGUACUCGAGUGGCGAACGGGUGAGUAACACGUGGGUGAUCUGCCCUGCACUUUGGGAUAAGCCUGGGAAACUGGGUCUAAUACCGAAUACACCCUGCUGGUCGCAUGGCCUGGUGGGGGAAAGCUUUUGCGGUGUGGGAUGGGCCCGCGGCCUAUCAGCUUGUUGGUGAGGUUAUGGCUUACCAAGGCGACGACGGGUAGCCGGCCUGAGAGGGUGACCGGCCACACUGGGACUGAGAUACGGCCCAGACUCCUACGGGAGGCAGCAGUGGGGAAUAUUGCACAAUGGGCGCAAGCCUGAUGCAGCGACGCCGCGUGGGGGAUGACGGCCUUCGGGUUGUAAACCUCUUUCAGUGCCGACGAAGCGUAAGUGACGGUAGGCACAGAAGAAGGACCGGCCAACUACGUGCCAGCAGCCGCGGUAAUACGUAGGGUCCGAGCGUUGUCCGGAAUUACUGGGCGUAAAGAGCUCGUAGGUGGUUUGUCGCGUUGUCCGUGAAAACUCACAGCUUAACUGUGGGCGUGCGGGCGAUACGGGCAGACUUGAGUACUGCAGGGGAGACUGGAAUUCCUGGUGUAGCGGUGGAAUGCGCAGAUAUCAGGAGGAACACCGGUGGCGAAGGCGGGUCUCUGGGCAGUAACUGACGCUGAGGAGCGAAAGCGUGGGGAGCGAACAGGAUUAGAUACCCUGGUAGUCCACGCCGUAAACGGUGGGUACUAGGUGUGGGUUUCCUUCCUUGGGAUCCGUGCCGUAGCUAACGCAUUAAGUACCCCGCCUGGGGAGUACGGCCGCAAGGCUAAACUCAAAGAAAUUGACGGGGGCCCGCACAAGCGGCGGAGCAUGUGGAUUAAUUCGAUGCAACGCGAAGAACCUUACCUGGGUUUGACAUGCACAGGACGCUGGCAGAGAUGUCGGUUCCCUUGUGGCCUGUGUGCAAGGUGGUGCAUGGCUGUCGUCAGCUCGUGUCGUGAGAUGUUGGGUUAAGUCCCGCAACGAGCGCAACCCUUUUCUUCAUGUUGCCAGCGCGUAAUGCCGGGGACUCGUGAGAGACUGCGGGUCAACUCGAGGAAGGUGGG